rnacentral:rRNA from 1 species
AGAGUUUGAUCCUGGCUCAGGACGAACGCUGGCGGCGUGCCUAAUACAUGCAAGUCGAGCGGACUUUCUCCUUCGGGGGAAGGUUAGCGGCGGACGGGUGAGUAACACGUAGGCAACCUGCCCCUAAGACUGGGAUAACACUCGGAAACGAAUGCUAAGACCGGAUAAGCAGUGCUCUCGCAUGAGAGGGCUGGGAAACA